GUUACAGUUUGGUGUUUGAGGUUUAAAUGUUCCUUAGGUGACUUUCGGAAUGAAGCGCUAUCAAAUUUCCUCUUAAAGAUCAAAGCACCUGUCUAGUCACAAGUAUUACGCAAUGCUUCCCCUUUGACUUCAUUUUGAACACAGUUAAUCAGCAAAGUAAUUUUUUUCAAAGAAAACUGAGGUGUAAAUUUCCUCCUUGACCACAUCUGAAAGGCACAGACACGUGGGUAAAUGGAGUAUAAAUGUCCUGCUCUCUACAAACGUUUUAAAGCAAACUGAAAGGUCCAAUUCUAGACGAGAAACCAUCCAUUAAACGGUUCCUUCGGUUAUCAACGAGUCAAAAGUAUGGGGAUCCUUGCACUUCUGCUGGUUUCUGCCCUGCUUCCCCUGUGCAACUUGGCUCCUUGUGCUCCACAGCAAAAUCUGACGAACCUCAAGGACAUCAUUUUAGCGAAUGGGACAUACAAUGACACUACGGUAGGAGCUUGUUUGCAUUUUAUAGGUAAAUGAUGAAAGGAUUUUGUCGAAACCUUUGACAUCUCAUUUUUUUGUUUUGUGUGACAGAACCGCUUUGUGGAAGAUGUGCAGGACUUGGUUGAGGCUGGAUGUAAGGAUGACUUCUUCUGCACAGUUCUGGGCAUUCUGAAAAAUGAGGAUAACAUCAAACAUAAAAAAAACGAGUUUGAGCAAAAAAUUUUGAGGAAUCUCGCAAUGUUCAUUAAAAUAUCAAAGAUGAAAUGUGAAGAGGAACCGAAGGCAAAGGAAAAUGCGGUCAAAACCCCCAUCACGGUUCUUCUGGGAUUCCUCAAGGAAUGCAGUAAGAGAAGAAUCUCAUUAUGUUAACCAAGAGCUUGAGACACUUGUUAGCUGCUGUCUUCUUCUCAAAUGUUCACAUUUGCAAAUCUUAAGUUGCUACCAAACAGAAGUUUGGAUAGUUUGUUAAAGUAUGAAAUAUUCAUAUCAUCAUUAUUUAUUAUUUUAUUUUAAUUUUCAAUGUACUGUUUUGCCUCUUCUGGUGUCACUAAAUCCAGCUAAAAAGUGUUUUCUGGGUCCUUUUUCAUUUGGAUCUCAUUGAUUUAUUUUGAUGUUUCCAAAUCAAUGUGUUUAAAACCUCAUUUGUUAUUGUUAAUUUUUAAAAUGUUAUUUAUUUAAUUUAUUGUUUUUUUUUACUUUUCUCUUUAUUUCUUUGUGGCUAUUGUUAACUGCUGCUACACAAAAUGGAAAAAAGUGAAGAAGGAAAUUGUUCUUGAGUUUUCCAGAGUUAAUAACUACCUUUGUGUUUGUAACUACUCUGUUAUUAACACACAAUGCCUACCUAUUUAUUUAAUUUAUUUAGAACAGAAGACAGUAUGUUUUAAUAUAUACACAUGUUUACGUGUCUGUAUAUAUUUAUUUAUGUGGAGUUUGACUCCUAAAUAAAUGCUGAUGAUUUGGGAAAAAAAUUGUUUUUUUUUGUUUGACUGUUAGGUCUCUAUUUAUGUUUUUUCACACCACUUUUGUAGCAUCUGAAGUGCUUAGUUUUCUCUUAAUUAUAUUUAAUACAAUGAAAAUAUGGUUUGAAGAUAAUCUAUUCUGCAGUAUUUGGUAAAACUGUGUUUAUUUGCAUUUAACCUUUUUUGUGCAAAUAUGAAUCUCAUUGAUAUGCCAAGCCUUACCUUAGCCUGAAAUAUGUAGAUUAUUAAUUUCUCAAUCUAAAUUUUGACAAUUUUAAUAUUUUUCUGAACCUGUACAUUUAAAUUGAAGGAAUGUCUUUAAGAAAAUCACAAAAUCCAUAUAAAAGCAUUAAUGUGACAUUUUUUGCAUGUUAUAAAAUCAAAGAAUAAAUCAAAAAGACCCUAACAUGAAUAAAAAUUAGGAAGACACAUUAUGAGCAAUUUAAAAAAAAUGCUUUUUUUACUCUGUGAGAAUGUGUCCUGUAAUACCACAUCUGUUGAUAAGUUU